rnacentral:rRNA from 1 species
AGAGUUUGAUCCUGGCUCAGGAUGAACGCUGGCGGCGUGCUUAACACAUGCAAGUCGAACGAUGAAGCCCAGCUUGCUGGGUGGAUUAGUGGCGAACGGGUGAGUAACACGUGAGUAACCUGCCCUUAACUCUGGGAUAAGCCUGGGAAACUGGGUCUAAUACCGGAUAGGAGCGUCCACCGCAUGGUGGGUGUUGGAAAGAUUUAUCGGUUUUGGAUGGACUCGCGGCCUAUCAGCUUGUUGGUGAGGUAAUGGCUCACCAAGGCGACGACGGGUAGCCGGCCUGAGAGGGUGACCGGCCACACUGGGACUGAGACACGGCCCAGACUCCUACGGGAGGCAGCAGUGGGGAAUAUUGCACAAUGGGCGAAAGCCUGAUGCAGCGACGCCGCGUGAGGGAUGACGGCCUUCGGGUUGUAAACCUCUUUCAGUAGGGAAGAAGCGAAAGUGACGGUACCUGCAGAAGAAGCACCGGCUAACUACGUGCCAGCAGCCGCGGUAAUACGUAGGGUGCGAGCGUUAUCCGGAAUUAUUGGGCGUAAAGAGCUCGUAGGCGGUUUGUCGCGUCUGUCGUGAAAGUCCGGGGCUUAACCCCGGAUCUGCGGUGGGUACGGGCAGACUAGAGUGCAGUAGGGGAGACUGGAAUUCCUGGUGUAGCGGUGGAAUGCGCAGAUAUCAGGAGGAACACCGAUGGCGAAGGCAGGUCUCUGGGCUGUAACUGACGCUGAGGAGCGAAAGCAUGGGGAGCGAACAGGAUUAGAUACCCUGGUAGUCCAUGCCGUAAACGUUGGGCACUAGGUGUGGGGACCAUUCCACGGUUUCCGCGCCGCAGCUAACGCAUUAAGUGCCCCGCCUGGGGAGUACGGCCGCAAGGCUAAAACUCAAAGGAAUUGACGGGGGCCCGC